rnacentral:sRNA from 1 species
UUCGAAGCCCAGUUGGGCCGACCAGGUGGAGGAGGAGGGGGAGGACGACAAAUGUGUCACCAGCGAGCUCCUCAAGGGGAUCCCUCUGGCCACAGGUGACACCAGCCCAGAACCAGAGCUACUGCCGGGAGCUCCACUGCCGCCUCCCAAGGAGGUCAUCAACGGAAACAUAAAGACAGUGACAGAGUACAAGAUAGAUGAGGAUGGCAAGAAGUUCAAGAUUGUCCGCACCUUCAGGAUUGAGACCCGGAAGGCUUCAAAGGCUGUCGCAAGGAGGAAGAGUGUUGCUCUGUCCCCCAGGCUGAAGUGCAGUGGCAUGAUCUCAACUCACUGCAACCUCCGCCUCCUGGGUUCAAGUGAUUCUCCUGCCUCAGCCUCCUGAGUAGCUGGGGUUACAGGCAUGUGCCACCACGCCCAGCUAAUUUUUGUACUUUUAGUAGAGACAGGGUUUUGCCAUGUUGGCCAGGCUGGUCUCGAACUCCUGACCUCACAUGAUCUGCACACCUAGGCCUCCCAAAGCGUUGGGAUUACAGGUGUGAGCCAUCGCACCCGGCCGGGCUUACCUCUUUGUACCUAUUUUGUUGAAGCUGAACUGAGGCCUGGGGUGCUUGCACUGUCUUGGGGCCCUGAAAAGUCCAAGGCACAGCAGUCGAUAAAUAGCAACUAAAUAAAUGAUAAAUAUCUAAUCAAAGUUUGAUGAUAGAUAUCAAAUUAUAUUAAUAAAUAUCAACAUCGAUUGUAAAUAUCGAAUAAAAA